UCCCCGCCCGACCCGCGGGUGCCCGAGAUCUGACUCACCGUCCCCCUCCGGGCUUAGCCGGCGGAGGUGGGGCGGGUGCCGCCGAGGUAGCCACGCAGCCCCUGUGCGCCUCCGGCCCGGCCCAGCGACCUCCUCUCGGGCCUGCCGUUACCCGGUCCCCUCCUGCCACCACCCGCUACCCGGCCACCCCGAGUCCGCCUGGGGUGGCCGAACGUAUGGAGCUGGGCUCCAGGGUGCACGGGGAUGGGGGGUGAGGAGCGGGGCGUUCUCCCUCCCAGCACCCCCCAGCUGACUCUGUGCCCGGAGGGGGUGUGUGAGCCGGAACCUCCAGCAUUCUUGGGGAUACGAACUUCCAACGCUGGGCAGCCUCUUAAGGCUUCUAGGAAUUC